UUGAGUACGUGGACGUAGACCCGAAACCGUGUGAUCUACCCCUGUCCAGGGUGAAGGUGAGGUAACACUCACUGGAGGCCCGAACCCACGAAUGUUGAAAAAUUCGGGGAUGAGGUGGGGGUAGCGGAGAAAUUCCAAUCGAACUCGGAGAUAGCUGGUUCUCCCCGAAAUAGCUUUAGGGCUAGCCUCGGAUGUGGAGUUGUGGAGGUAAAGCACUGAUUGGGUGCGGGGCCCGCCAAGGGUUACCAAGUCCAGUCAAACUCUGAAUGCCACAAACUUAAAUCCGGGAGUCAGACAGUGAGUGCUAAGAUCCAUUGUCAAAAGGGAAACAGCCCAGACCAUCAGCUAAGGUCCCCAAGUGUGUGUUAAGUGGGAAAGGAUGUGGAGUUGCACAGACAACCAGGAUGUUGGCUUAGAAGCAGCCACCAUUGAAAGAGUGCGUAAUAGCUCACUGGUCGAGUGACUCUGCGCCGAAAAUGUAACGGGGCUAAACACGCCACCGAAGCUAUGGCUUGCACGUAUGUGCAUGGGUAGGGGAGCGUUGUAUGUACGUUGAAUUCUGACCGUAAGGACAGGUGGAGCGCAUACAAGUGAGAAUGCCGGUAUAAGUAACGAAAAGAUCAGUGAGAAUCUGAUCCGCCGAAAACCUAAGGGUUCCUGAGGAAGGCUCGUCCGCUCAGGGUAAGUCGGGACCUAAGGCGAGGCCGAAAGGCGUAGUCGAUGGACAACAGGUGGAAAUUCCUGUACCACCGUAGCCGUUAUGAGCAAUGGAGUGACGCAGAAGGAUAGUGACGCGAGCUGAUGGAUGCUCGUCCAAGCAGUGAGGCUG
rnacentral:rRNA from 2 species